rnacentral:lncRNA from 1 species
GCAGCGGAGAUGAGAGUCUGCGGGCUGCCGGAGGCAAAAUGUGCGGCUUGCAGGAUGCUCGGAGAAGCAAGCCCUUUCAUGCUGUUCGGCACUGCAGCGGCGGCGGUGGCGGCCGCCUUGGGGGCGUCCGAGGUUGUGGCUGCGGAGCCGGCCAGGGUCAGUGAAGGGGGGCAGAGAGAGAGCGUACCACCGGAGGCCGAGGAAAGUGGCGGCUGAUUAUGCUGCUGCUGCUGCUGUUCAGACGUGGGGGCUCUUUGAUGGUACCCAGGGGCCGCCCCGCCGCCGCCGGCGUUUGGGUGGGAAUUCUGGGCCGGCAGGUACGAGUUCGCGAAGAAAAUCUGCGGCGGUGGAAACGGUUGCUGCUUCUGUGAAUUUUGCUGCUGCUGCAGAGGGGACUGAGGCUGUUGCUGGGACUUCAUGACUGAGCUCGGAGACGUAGCCAUGUGUGGUUGACCAAGGAUGGAUGGGGAGGAAGACUUGCGGCCGUGGCCCGUCCCCGAGCUCUUCGAUAGGGGCGGUUGUUGCAGCGGCAGCGUGGU